rnacentral:rRNA from 1 species
UACGUAGGGUGCAAGCGUUGUCCGGAAUCAUUGGGCGUAAAGAGCGCGUAGGCGGCCCGGUAAGUCCGCUGUAAAAGUCCAGGGCUCAACCCUGGAAAGCCGGUGGAUACUGUCGGGCUCGAGUCCGGAAGAGGCGAGUGGAAUUCCUGGUGUAGCGGUGGAAUGCGCAGAUAUCAGGAGGAACACCAAUGGCGAAGGCAGCUCGCUGGGACGGUACUGACGCUGAGGCGCGAAAGCGUGGGGAGCAAACAGG